AGGCUAAAGGUAGUUUCGAUUGAGGU
rnacentral:piRNA from 1 species